ACUGCAGUUCCAACAUUCACAGAACAAACAGCAACUGGACAAUAUGAACAACUGUCUACACCAGUCAACCCUCUGUCAUUAAUGGAUGUUACAAGGGAUUUGGCUGUAGAUGUAAACAAUAUCAAUGCAAUUUUUGAAGACAUCCCAGAGGUUGGACUAUUUGGAGACAUUGGGCAAAAUGAGUGUACAGAAAAUUUCAGAAAAAAAAUUAAAGAACAUAAGGAAUUGUUCAUCCACAAUGACUCGGAUGACCCAUUACUGAUGGAGGU